AUUUAUUUUAAAAAUAUUGUAAAUAUAUGCAAACUAAAAAUAUAAAUAUUAACCAAAAAGCUUUAAUAAAAAAACAGUAAAAAUGUGUAGAUCUUUAUUUUUGUAAACAAUGUAGUCAUUUUGUGACGAAUACAGUUUUAAACUGCUGCUUGCUAUUUAAAUGGCUGCACGUGCACGUCACGUGUAACGAUGCAGCUGUGGGUAUAUUAGAGCAGUUCCCGAAGCCCAUCACGCAGCCUUAUAUCUCCGUGACUGAUUGGUCAAUUCGGAUGACCGUCACCUCUUUUGGAUCGUUAGGGCCAUUAAAAUGAGGCGGCACCAAAAUGAGAUUGACAGUACAGUCAGCCAAUGAGACUCGUCAAAACACAGACAUGCACGAAAGACAAACAAGGCCAGCCAUCAGAGGUGUUCGAGUUGCCAAACUGUUUUCGGUGAUAAAGCUUUUGCUUUCCGUCUCAACUGUUUCCAGUGUAACACAACAGGUAGGGCUAAUUAUAAAUGAAGAGAAAUGUGGAUUAAACGAAUUUUCAAGGCACAACAUCAAAGGGACAGAGGGGACCCUCACAAAGGCACGUUGUUCAGCGACUGUUUACUGAGAUCUAAGGAUUCGCUCCAUUCUUUUCUUCUUCUCAGAACAAUACAGAACAUAUAACGCUUCAUGCUGGGAGAACAGCUUUGGAAGAGAUUGCAACCAAUUAAAGGAAGCAGUUCUCUUCUUUGAAGAAGUGCGGCACACAAGACGAAGUGGUACGCUUGUAAUCUCACCCCAUGUCUCUCUGCCAGCUAACGCUCAUCCAUCGUGACCACAGCAGGUGGCAAAGGGGCAAGGAAGAACAGAAGAAGCGGAGCUUUGCACCAGGGUCACUUCAUCUUCGCCCUGCACCGACCUGCCUCUACAUCUGCAGCUCCUAUUGCCUCAUCAACAAGCACUUUGAACGUCAGCUGUGCCCAACUGACAUUGUGGUCUAUGUGGAUCAGACCCCUGGGAUUUGACGCAUGCUACUGUCCUACUUCAGCUACUUUUUCUGUGGCUCCUCAGAGCACUAGGCUGUCCUCCUCUAUGCAACCAACUGUGCCAUUAAGGCACAAGCUACCUGUUGGAAUGCAACACAAGGCCUUUAUUAACAUAAAUUUCUACUUAAAGGUGACAUGUUAUGACC